CUCGGGCUGGGAGGCCGCGAUCCCGUCCUGCCGGGGGCUCACCUGGGAGCGGCAGGUCAAGGCGUUGAAGAGGUCGAAGAGCACGAAGCAGGUCACUGGCUCUCUCAGCACAGGGGUGCCUGAACCUGCAGGGCCACAGAAAGGUGACCCAUGGAAAGACCCCCUGCCUACAGAGGAGAAAAGAGUCUCUUCAGAUUGGACUGCUACAGGUAAAAGAGUGAAAUCAGAACAUUCUCUAACACCACACACAGAGAUAAACUCAAAAUGGAUUAAAGACCUAAAUGUAAGACUGGGUACUGUAAAACUCAGAGGAGAACAGGAAAAACACUGGCAUAAACCACAGCAACACUUUCUCUGAUCCUCCUCCUCAAGUAAUGAAAGUAACAAUGAAAAGAAACAUGUGGGACCUUGUUAAACUUACUUCAGAGUGCGAAAUGUAACAUGGCAGGGGUUUUUGUGUGCUUGACAUCAUGUCCAGGAAGGAAGGGCCUGAACCUGGAAGCUUUGGGACCUGCUGGUCCAGGCCUCACAGGGCUGGCUGACCCUCCCUCAAAGGCCCAGUGGACCUUGGUCCAAAAGGUAAGUUUGUUGCUUUGUAAAGCCAUUUUAGUGUCCUUGACCAAGAGGACGAUGUAAGAGGCAUCAUUGCCUGGAUGAACAGAGGGUAUGCUUUCAAGCCCUGAGACCCUGGGUCUAAGAGCUUGAAUUUUUUCCCCAUGUAUUUUUAAUUGGAGGAUAACUGUGUACAGUGUCAUGUUGAUUUCUGCUGCACACGCCGUGAAUUGGCUGGAAGUAUGCAUAUGCUGCCUCCCUCCUGAGCCAGCAUCCUGCCCAUCUUUGUCAUCACAGAGCUCCGAGCUGAGCUCCCCACGCGGUGCCGCAGCGUCCCAUUAGAUGUCUCUCUUACACCCGGGAAAGUGGAUGUUUCAGUGCUGCUUCCAGGAGCUGGAUCCUCACGGAACAUUUCUCUGAGGACUUUUCCGGUUGUCCUUGAUAUUUCUAAGUCAAUGAGGAGUAUCCAGUUUUCAAGCCUUAACAGCUACUUCUGGGGACUUGGCCCCCAUCUCUGGGAUCUGAAUGGGAGGGAGUCACGGCCCACCUUCCUGUCUUAGAAGCUUACAGUGAUCAUGUUUCUCUGCUCCCCUCGGGACUCCUCUCUUUCUCGCCGCACACUUUGCCGCUUACAGUGGAGGCUCAGUGGGCAGGGUGACAGUGCUGCCAGUUCUUUCUGGGCCUCUGGCAAAAGGGCGUCAGCAGGGAAGACCACCGCUCCCCCAAGGCUGGGUGUUCUUGGUACGUGCUGUCCACAGCCCUUCACUGUUCUCGGAACCCUUUGCCAGUGCAAUAAUCUCUUUGGAGAUAGACGUGUUAAUUUUCUUUUGCACAAUACUUAGUACAAUGUCUGAAUUAAUUAUUAACAUUUAAAAUAUGUUCUUUCUUAACUCCCCCAUUUGCUUUGCUCACAGCCUAUUCUGUUCCUUCGUUUGGCAGAAUUCUGCAACCUCACCCACUACUGAGAUUGCUCGGUUCCUGAUGUAUUGGUAUUGACUUGUUUCUAGUGGCAGCUUGUCCUAAAAUGUGGGUAACAAGCAGCUGUUUCAUGAUAAAGUUGUUGUGUAGUACAUGCUCUGUGUGGAAUGCAGAGAAAGAUCCAGACUCCGCGUAACAGUGCCAAAAAAUAUAAGUAGCCAUUGUUCAA